UUGCCCAGGCUGGUCUGGAACUCCUGAGCUGGACCGAUCCUCCUGCCUUGGCCUCCCAAAGUGCUGAGAUUGCAGGAGUAAUUGGGCAGUAUCUUUUAACUGCAGUGGAGAAGUGUCAACACUACUUUGGCUGUGGGACCAGGAUCCUGCUGCCUGGAGGCAGAUUGAUAUUUUUAUUUCACCUUUAAAGGAUGUACAGUAAGGGUGAGAACAUCUCGAUGAAAUCUCUGCAGUAAAUAACUCUUGGAUCCCUUUCCCAUACAAGUGAAAGGACAAAAGGAUGAUAUGCUGAGAUGGCCUCUUCACCUGCACCAAUGCCAGGGCCAGGGUGGGUCUCAGCUACCCACCCCCAGGAUUUAUGAGGAUGGUGAAGAGUGGAGAGGGGUUCCCAGCAAAGGAUUUAGCAUGAGUAAAAUCAAGGAGGGAUAGAAGAACCAUCCUGAGCUAGAGGAGGUUUGAGAAGGAGAAUACUGAGAGGUGAGACUGGACCAAAUGUAAAUGACCUUGAAUGUCAGCCUGAGAGGUCUUUGAAGUCAGGGGCUGUGACUGAUUCAUUGUUGCAUCUCCCGUACCUACCACCAUCUAGCACAUAGUAAGUGUUCAGUGAAUAUUUGCUGAGAAAAUGAAUGACACUAUCCUGCAGACAGCGUGGAGCCUGAACCUCACCCAACAGAGGGGGUUGAGGGGGAGGGUGGCAUGAUCCAGACACUUACUAAGUACAGGUACACCCCAGGGCACAGGUUCUACAAUGGAAAAGGCACUGGUAUGGGGUUAUAGCCCUGGAGAAGCUCGCUGUCUGUUUUAGUGUGUUCUCACACUGUUAUAAAUAAAUACCUGAGACUGGGUAAUUUAUAAA
rnacentral:lncRNA from 1 species